rnacentral:SRP_RNA from 1 species
GCUGGGCAUGGUGGUGCAUGCCUGUAGUCCCAGCUACUCUGGGGGCUGAGGAGGGAGGAUUGCUUGAGCCUGAGAGUCUGAGGCUGCAGUGAGCCAUGAUCAUGCCACUGCACUCCAGCUUGGCCAACAGAGCAAGACCCUGUCUCAA